rnacentral:rRNA from 1 species
GAUGAACGCUGGCGGCGUGCUUAACACAUGCAAGUCGAACGAGAAGUGAAGACGGAAACCUUCGGGCGGAAGGCUUUAUUUCGAGUGGCGGACGGGUGAGUAACGCGUGGGUAACCUGCCUCAUACAGGGGGAUAACAGUUGGAAACGACGGUUAAUACCGCAUAAGACCACAGCACCGCAUGGUGCGGGGGUAAAAACUCCGGUGGUAUGAGAUGGACCCGCGUUCGAUUAGCCAGUUGGCGGGGUAACGGCCCACCAAAGCGACGAUCGAUAGCCGAUCUGAGAGGAUGACCGGCCACAUUGGGACUGAGACACGGCCCAAACUCCUACGGGAGGCAGCAGUGGGGAAUAUUGCACAAUGGGGGAAACCCUGAUGCAGCGACGCCGCGUGAGUGAAGAAGUAUUUCGGUAUGUAAAGCUCUAUCAGCAGGGAAGAAAAUGACGGUACCUGAGUAAGAAGCCCCGGCUAACUACGUG